rnacentral:rRNA from 1 species
GACGAACGCUGGCGGCGUGCUUAACACAUGCAAGUCGAGCGGUAAGGCCUUUCGGGGUACACGAGCGGCGAACGGGUGAGUAACACGUGGGUGAUCUGCCCUGCACUUCGGGAUAAGCCUGGGAAACUGGGUCUAAUACCGGAUAUGACCUCAGGUUGCAUGACUUGGGGUGGAAAGAUUUAUCGGUGCAGGAUGGGCCCGCGGCCUAUCAGCUUGUUGGUGGGGUAAUGGCCUACCAAGGCGACGACGGGUAGCCGACCUGAGAGGGUGACCGGCCACACUGGGACUGAGACACGGCCCAGACUCCUACGGGAGGCAGC